rnacentral:rRNA from 1 species
UACAGGGGGGGCAAGCGUUGUUCGGAAUUACUGGGCGUAAAGGGCUCGUAGGCCGCCAACUAAGUCAGACGUGAAAUCCCUCAGCUUAACUGGGGAACUGCGUCUGAUACUGGAUGGCUUGGAUUCGGGAGAGGAAUGCGGAAUUCCAGGUGUAGCGGUGAAAUGCGUAGAUAUCUGGAGGAACACCGGUGGCGAAGGCGGGUCUCUGGGCCGAUACUGACGCUGAGGAGCGAAAGCGUGGGGAGCGAACAGG